CCUAAGACAUGCGAAGUCGAACGAGGUGGCCCGUGAAGAUGGAGUGCUGCACAAAAGUUGGAUACGGAUUCCCACCUAGUGGCAGACGGGUGAGUAACACGUGGGUUACCUACCUCUUUGUUGGGGAUAACAGUUGGAAACGAUUGCUAAUACCGAAUAAGAUGUUUACAUUGAAAGGAGCCUUUAAAGCUCCGCUAAGAGAUGGGCCUGCGGCGUAUUAACUUGUUGGUGAGGUAAUGGCUCACCAAGGUAGCGAUGCGUAGCCGAACUGAGAGGUUGACCGGCCACACUGGGACUGAGACACGGCCCAGACUCCUACGGGAGACAGCAGUUAGGAAUAUUCGUCAAUGGGGGAAACCCUGAACGAGCAAUGCCGCGUGAGUUGAUGAAGGUCUUUGGAUUGUAAAACUCUGUUGUAUGGAAAAAAUGACUAGGUUAGGAAAUGAACUUAGUGUGAUGGUACCAUACCAGAAAGCCCCGGCUAACUACGUGCCAGCCGCCGC
rnacentral:rRNA from 1 species